CGGCCUCGGCAGCGGUGUUCUCGCGCUUGCGAAGCGGGCUCCGGCUCGGCUCGCGGGGACUGUGCACGAGGUUGGCGACGCCGCCCCGCCGGGCCCCAGAUCAGGCCGCAGAGAUCGGGAGCCGCGGGAGCACUAAGGCGCAAGGGCCACAGCAGCAGCCGGGCUCAGAGGGUCCCAGCUAUGCCAAAAAAGUUGCGCUCUGGCUUGCUGGGCUGCUUGGAGCUGGUGGGACUGUGAGCGUCGUCUAUAUCUUUGGAAACAACCCGGUGGACGAAAAUGGUGCCAAGAUUCCUGAUGAGUUCGACAAUGAUCCAAUUCUGGUACAGCAGUUGCGCCGGACAUACAAAUAUUUCAAAGAUUAUAGACAGAUGAUCAUCGAGCCCACCAGCCCUUGCCUUCUCCCAGACCCUCUGCAGGAACCGUACUACCAGCCACCCUACACGCUCGUUUUGGAGCUCACCGGCGUCCUCUUGCAUCCUGAGUGGUCGGUGUGUCCCGGGAAACCCAGUGGGUUGGGGAUAGACCUGGGCAGUGGGGUUGUGAUGAGGUGGACUUUCAGCCCUGGCUGUGCUAUGUGAUCUUGGGGAGGAGAUGUCACCUGUCAUUGCCUCGCUUUCUUCAGCUGGGAGAAGGCAGUCAUGCUAACACCCACUCUGUAGGGUAGUGUAGGUGUGCCCAGGCACGCUAUAAGUGCCACAAAGGAGCCAGACCCGCAGUCACAGCCUAUGAACUUCUUGACCUCCAAGAGCCACAGAGACAGAGGGAGAGAACUCUGUUCUGGGAAUCCCCCAGGCUGGAUCUUUGUCCUCUUGGGGACUCUGAGGACCUCUGGGUCUUGGUGUUUCACUGUCCUCACUGUCUUCCCAGCUGGCCACUGGCUGGAGGUUUAAGAAGCGCCCAGGCAUCGAGACCUUGUUCCAGCAGCUUGCCCCUUUAUAUGAAAUUGUCAUCUUUACGUCAGAGACUGGCAUGACUGCGUUUCCACUCAUUGAUAGUGUGGACCCCCAUGGCUUCAUCUCCUACCGCCUAUUCCGGGACGCCACAAGAUACAUGGAUGGACACCAUGUAAAG
rnacentral:lncRNA from 10 species